GAUACCCCUACGGGAGAGAGUGUAGCUUCGGUUACACCGCCGAAGGCGCAACCGCCCCGGAAACGCUCAGGCCCACGGACCGUAGGAUAACU
rnacentral:ncRNA from 2 species